rnacentral:rRNA from 1 species
CAGCAGCCACGGUAAUACGGAGGGUGCAAGCGUUAUCCGGAUUUAUUGGGUUUAAAGGGUCCGUAGGCGGACUUAUAAGUCAGUGGUGAAAGCCUGUCGCUUAACGAUAGAACUGCCAUUGAUACUGUAAGUCUUGAGUAUAUUUGAGGUAGCUGGAAUAAGUAGUGUAGCGGUGAAAUGCAUAGAUAUUACUUAGAACACCAAUUGCGAAGGCAGGUUACCAAGAUAUAACUGACGCUGAGGGACGAAAGCGUGGGUAGCGAACAGGAUUAGAUACCCCAGUAGUCCCUGUCUCUUAUAC